GCGCCCCUGCGUUGAUCGAACGGCAUCAUGUUGCCUGAGCCGAUACUUGUCGAAUGGGAGCUUACCUACUCUGGCUGUGAGCAUCUCCUGAUGGAGAUACCUGAAGCCGGGGUGCGGCGCCCACCUCUUGUUAGAGGGUUCGACGACUUUUUGCCUUUAUACCAGCGCGGGGGCGCC
rnacentral:other from 1 species